GAUGAACGCUGGCGGCGUGCCUAAUACAUGCAAGUCGAGCGAACGGACGAGAAGCUUGCUUCUCUGAUGUUAGCGGCGGACGGGUGAGUAACACGUGGAUAACCUACCUAUAAGACUGGGAUAACUUCGGGAAACCGGAGCUAAUACCGGAUAAUAUUUUGAACCGCAUGGUUCAAAAGUGAAAGACGGUCUUGCUGUCACUUAUAGAUGGAUCCGCGCUGCAUUAGCUAGUUGGUAAGGUAACGGCUUACCAAGGCAACGAUGCAUAGCCGACCUGAGAGGGUGAUCGGCCACACUGGAACUGAGACACGGUCCAGACUCCUACGGGAGGCAGCAGUAGGGAAUCUUCCGCAAUGGGCGAAAGCCUGACGGAGCAACGCCGCGUGAGUGAUGAAGGUCUUCGGAUCGUAAAACUCUGUUAUUAGGGAAGAACAUAUGUGUAAGUAACUGUGCACAUCUUGACGGUACCUAAUCAGAAAGCCACGGCUAACUACGUGCCAGCAGCCGCGGUAAUACGUAGGUGGCAAGCGUUAUCCGGAAUUAUUGGGCGUAAAGCGCGCGUAGGCGGUUUUUUAAGUCUGAUGUGAAAGCCCACGGCUCAACCGUGGAGGGUCAUUGGAAACUGGAAAACUUGAGUGCAGAAGAGGAAAGUGGAAUUCCAUGUGUAGCGGUGAAAUGCGCAGAGAUAUGGAGGAACACCAGUGGCGAAGGCGACUUUCUGGUCUGUAACUGACGCUGAUGUGCGAAAGCGUGGGGAUCAAACAGGAUUAGAUACCCUGGUAGUCCACGCCGUAAACGAUGAGUGCUAAGUGUUAGGGGGUUUCCGCCCCUUAGUGCUGCAGCUAACGCAUUAAGCACUCCGCCUGGGGAGUACGACCGCAAGGUUGAAACUCAAAGGAAUUGACGGGGACCCGCACAAGCGGUGGAGCAUGUGGUUUAAUUCGAAGCAACGCGAAGAACCUUACCAAAUCUUGACAUCCUUUGACAGCUCUAGAGAUAGAGCUUUCCCCUUCGGGGGACAAAGUGACAGGUGGUGCAUGGUUGUCGUCAGCUCGUGUCGUGAGAUGUUGGGUUAAGUCCCGCAACGAGCGCAACCCUUAAGCUUAGUUGCCAUCAUUAAGUUGGGCACUCUAAGUUGACUGCCGGUGACAAACCGGAGGAAGGUGGGGAUGACGUCAAAUCAUCAUGCCCCUUAUGAUUUGGGCUACACACGUGCUACAAUGGACAAUACAAAGGGCAGCGAAACCGUGAGGUCAAGCAAAUCCCAUAAAGUUGUUCUCAGUUCGGAUUGUAGUCUGCAACUCGACUACAUGAAGCUGGAAUCGCUAGUAAUCGUAGAUCAGCAUGCUACGGUGAAUACGUUCCCGGGUCU
rnacentral:rRNA from 1 species